CCUACGGGGGGCAGCAGUAGGGAAUCUUCCACAAUGGGCGCAAGCCUGAUGGAGCAACACCGCGUGAGUGAAGAAGGGUUUCGGCUCGUAAAGCUCUGUUGUUGGAGAAGAACGUGCGUGAGAGUAACUGUUCACGCAGUGACGGUAUCCAACCAGAAAGUCACGGCUAACUACGUGCCAGCAGCCGCGGUAAUACGUAGGUGGCAAGCGUUAGCCGGAUUUAUUGGGCGUAAAGCGAGGGCAGGCGGUUGCUUAGGUCUGAUGUGAAAGCCUUCGGCUUAACCGAAGAAGUGCAUCGGAAACCGGGCAACUUGAGUGCAGAAGAGGACAGUGGAACUCCAUGUGUAGCGGUGGAAUGCGUAGAUAUAUGGAAGAACACCAGUGGCGAAGGCGGCUGUCUGGUCUGCAACUGACGCUGAGGCUCGAAAGCAUGGGUAGCGAACAGGAUUAGAUACCCGAGUAGUC
rnacentral:rRNA from 1 species